GGGGAAUAUUGGACAAUGGGGGCAACCCUGAUCCAGCGACGCCGCGUGGGUGAAGAAGGCCUGCGGGUUGUAAAGCCCUUUCGGUUGGGAAGAAAAGUUGCGGUUUAACACAUCGCGACCUUGACGUAACCAACUAAAGAAGCAACGGCUAACUCUGUGCCAGCAGCCGCGGUAAUACAGAGGGUGCGAGCGUUAAUCGGAAUUACUGGGCGUAAAGAGCGCGUAGGCGGCUUUUCAAGUCGAUUGUGAAAUCCCCGGGCUUAACCUGGGAACUGCAGUCGAGACUGUCUAGCUAGAGUAUGGGAGAGGGAAGUGGAAUUUCAGGUGUAGCGGUGAAAUGCGUAGAUAUCUGAAGGAACAUCAGUGGUGAAAGCGACUUCCUGGACCAAUACUGACGCUCAUGUGCGAAAGCGUGGGGAGCAAA
rnacentral:rRNA from 1 species